CCCUUAGAUGUUCUGGGCCGCACGCGCGCUACACUGAUGAAUUCAACGAGCUCCUAACCUAGGCCGAAGGGUCCGGGUAAUCUUUGAAAUUUCAUCGUGAUGGGGAUAGAUUAUUGCAAUUAUUAAUCUUCAACGAGGAAUUCCUAGUAAGCGCGAGUCAUCAGCUCGCGUUGAUUACGUCCCUGCCCUUUGUACACACCGCCCGUCGCUCCUACCGAUUGAAUGGUCCGGUGAAAUGUUCGGACCGCGACAAGGCGGACGGUUCGCUGUCAGCUUUGCUGCGGGAAGUUCAUUAAACCUUAUCAUUUAGAGGGAGGAGAAGUCGUAACA
rnacentral:rRNA from 1 species